ACCCUCGUAGUCCACGCAGUAAAACGAUGAUAAUUACCCGUCGGCGAUACACAGUCGGUGGCCAAGCGAAAGCGAUAAGUUAUCCACCUGGGGAGUACGUUCGCAAGAAUGAAACUCAAAGGAAUUGACGGGGGCCCCGCACAAGCGGAGGAACAUGUGGUUUAAUUCGAUGAUAGCGAGGAACCUUACCCGGGCUCGAACGGCAGGUGAAUAGAUACAGAGAUGUUGACGUCCUUCGGGACACCUGUCGAGGUGCUGCAUGGUUGUCGUCAGCUCGUGUCGUGAGAUGUUGGCUCAAGUGCCAUAACGAGCGCAACCCUUGCUGCUAGUUACCAGCAUUUCGGAUGGGGACUCUAGCAGGACUGCCACCGUAAGGUGUGAGGAAGGCGGGGAAGACGUCAAAUCACCACGGCCCUUACGUCCGGGGCGACACCCGUGUUACAAUGGGACUACAGAAGGGAUGCCCCCGGGCGACAGGGAGCGAAUCUCAAAAAAGUCAUCUCAGUU
rnacentral:rRNA from 1 species